CCUGGCCAACAUGGUGAAACCCCAUGUCUGCUAAAAAUACAAAAAUUAGCCGGGUGUGGUGACGCAUGCCUGUAAUCCCAGCUACUUGGAAGACUGAGGCAGGAGAAUUGCUUGAACCCAUGAGGUAGAGGUUGCAGUGUGCUGAGAUUGUGCCACUGCACUACAGCCUGGGCGGCCCAGCAAGAAAGUCUCCAAAAAAAAAAAAAAAAAAAAAGACCCAGUUUCCAGAUUCCAGGUCACAGAAGGUGGGAUCAUCAGUAGGCAGGUCACAGAAAGCCUCCUUCACCUGGUGGAAUAUACUUUGGCAUAAUAAAUCAAGGCCUUGCAGGACUGAGUCGUAUCAGAGCCAACAGUACAUUGGAUAAAUGAAGUUCUAUUAUGAAAGGCACAAGUCGUUCAGUGUUUAUUUCGUGAAGCGCCACUUUGUGUGUUCCCCUAGGGGUUGAUGUUCUUGCCAUAAAGGUCGGUGGUAAUUCUUUUGGCCAAGAUAAUCCAGUUGACUCUGUUAAUUUAGCUCAUUUUAGUUUUGUGAUGCCGUUUCUCCAUUCAGCCUUUCCAGAAGACUGAAAGUGAUAAGGGCAAUGAUAGUGCCAUUAGGUCUGUAAACUCUUAUUUGGUGGAUGACCUGUCAAAUAAAGCGAAUCGCCCUAGCACUAGAGACCUCCUCAGCAGGUAGGUGGGAUUUCAUCUUUCUGGAGCCUGAGCGUCUCCAAAGAAGAGCUGGCUGAUGGAGCUUCCCUGACCGGUGACCUCCACCCUCUUCUCUCCAGAGCUCUUUGCCCCAGCGGUAUCUGCAGGAAUGGAGGGAGUUGGCCAAAGCAGAGAGAUUUUUACUCAGCCCCCAUCCAGUGGAGACUGAUCCCUGGCCACCCAUUCAGCUGCCUGAGAGCCCUGGGCCCAGUGUUCAUCCCCCGCCUCCCAAAACAGAGGUGUGUAGAGGUUCCCUGCCUGGAGUCCCAGCCCUGCCAGGGUGGAGAAAAUGGGCACCAGUUACUGUGACCCAUUCCGGCUCCAUAUG
rnacentral:lncRNA from 1 species